rnacentral:rRNA from 1 species
CAGCCGCCGCGGUAAUACGUAGGUGACAAGCGUUGUCCGGAAUUAUUGGGCGUAAAGGGAGCGCAGGCGGUUGGAAUAGUCUGAUGUGAAAGCCCACGGCUUAACCGUGGAAUUGCAAUGGAAACUGUCCAACUUGAAUGCAGAAGAGGAAAGCGGAAUUCCAUGUAUAGCGGUGAAAUGCGUAGAUAUAUGGAGGAACACCAGUGGCGAAGGCGGCUUUCUGGUCUGUGAUUGACGCUGAGGCUCGAAAGCGUGGGGAGCGAACAGGAUUAGAUACCCCGGUAGUCCCUGUCUCUUAUAC